UGGGGAAUAUUGCACAAUGGGGGGAAACCCGUGAUGCAGCGACGCCGCGUGAAGGAAGAAGUAUCUCGGUAUGUAAACUUCUAUCAGCAGGGAAGAAAGUGACGGUACCUGACUAAGAAGCCCCGGCUAACUACGUGCC
rnacentral:rRNA from 1 species